rnacentral:rRNA from 1 species
UACGGAGGGGACUAGCGUUGUUCGGAAUUACUGGGCGUAAAGCGCACGUAGGCGGAUUUGUAAGUCAGGGGUGAAAUCCCGGGGCUCAACCUCGGAACUGCCUUUGAUACUGCAAAUCUCGAGUCCGGAAGAGGUGAGUGGAAUUCCUAGUGUAGAGGUGAAAUUCGUAGAUAUCGGGAGGAACACCAGUGGCGAAGGCGGAGACCUGGGCCGAUACUGACGCUGAGGUGCGAAAGCGUGGGGAGCAAACAGG